ACUAGUGGAAAAAACACUUAUUAAAUCACACAUUUUAAAUCAGAUGUCAUCCACCUGAUUUAAAAACCUUAAAAUAUAGGACACGGAAGGAAGACUUUUAAAGGAAUAAAAGCUAAAUCAGUUAGCCUGAUUUAAAAAACUUAUUUAUAAUUAAAAAAAAUAAAAAUCAUUUUCACUUCUUCAGAUCUGCGACGACGAACACCAACAAAGCCUAAAACACAAAUUCUCUCAGAUCUGCACCAAAAACCCUAAACACAUACUUCCUUUUCACUUUCUCUCUGCGACGACGAACACCAACAAGGGUUCCUUCUCUGAGCGUAGUCUCUGCGACGAACGAACACGAACAGGACUUCCGAUUCAACCACCGCUUUUGGUCUUCUCAUUCUAAGGUUAGUUCCAUUUCGAUUUUGGUCUUUUCUUCAUUCUCCAAUGGAUUCUCAUUCCAAUUUCGU
rnacentral:lncRNA from 1 species